GAUGAACGCUGGCGGCGUGCCUAAUACAUGCAAGUCGAGCGAACAGACGAGGAGCUUGCUCCUCUGACGUUAGCGGCGGACGGGUGAGUACACGUGGAUAACCUACCUAUAAGACUGGGAUAACUUCGGGAAACCGGAGCUAAUACCGGAUAACAUUUUUAACCGCAUGGUUCAACAGUGAAAGACGGUCUUGCUGUCGCUUAUAGAUGGAUCCGCGCCGCAUUAGCUAGUUGGUAAGGUAACGGCUUACCAAGGCAACGAUGCGUAGCCGACCUGAGAGGGUGAUCGGCCACACUGGAACUGAGACACGGUCCAGACUCCUACGGGAGGCAGCAGUAGGGAAUCUUCCGCAAUGGGCGAAAGCCUGACGGAGCAACGCCGCGUGAGUGAAGAAGGUCUUCGGAUCGUAAAACUCUGUUAUUAGGGAAGAACAAAUGUGUAAGUAACUAUGCACGUCUUGACGGUACCUAAUCAGAAAGCCACGGCUAACUACGUG
rnacentral:rRNA from 1 species